rnacentral:lncRNA from 7 species
UUGGCAGCUGCAGCAAAGAGCUCCUGGUUGUCACUCCGCACUCAGGGAGCCACACAAGAGCUCAGCCUGAUCCAUGAAGUAGGUGCUGCUGCUUAGGAUGCAGUCUUGCUGCAAUGCCACCAUGAGUUUGGGUACCUGCCUGUGCUUCUCUACCAGGAAGGACAUCAGGAACCAGGAAACAGGAAGAAAGAGAAAAAAUGUCUUUCUGCUUAUUGGAAUACAUUCAGUAUUUGUGCCUGCAGUCAGUUUGAAACCAGGCCAUUCUGAAGGCUGGAUGUGGCUCUGGGCAGCCUGGUCUGCUGGUUGGUGACCCUGCACACAGCAGGGGGUUGAAACCAGAUGAGCACUGUGGUCCUUUUCAACCCAGGCCAUUCUAGGGUUCUGUGAAAUUCCUGAGCAAUGCAGCACCUGCCUGCACUGCCCAGCUCUCUUGUUGUCGUGUGCUGCAUGGUGGAGUGCAUCCCUUAUGAAAUCCAAAUAGUAAAAUGGAAGAAAGGCUGCCAGCUGAAGUCCUGUGCUUUUGCUUGUGCUCAGGCUGGUGAGGUUUCUGAGGCACGGACAGCCACCUGACUUGGGCACCUCAGGGCUGUGGGCAAUCAGUCUGUAAGCUACAGGGAAGAAACCAAAGGGUCCCAUUUGCACCGAAGCUGCUUUGACUCAGAAGGAUCAAUAACGCUUAUUUGCAAGUGUUUAUAGUACAUUAUUUGCAUUUGUGAAGGUAAUGAAAAAAACUAUUGAAUUUUAAUUAGCAUUUUCUGGCUCGCCUGGGAGGCUUCUGAUUCAAUCCACAGAUACUUUCAGUGUAUUUUGAGGCAGCACAGUGGGCAAAAUGUAAAAUAAUUUCUGAUGCUCUGACGCUGUUGAAGCUCCAAAGCACAGCUUUCCAUGAUCUGCCCGCUGCCAGGAGUUGCUGCAGAAGCAUAAUAAUGGGUCUAUUGUGCUAUAAAUUGUUUUGUCAUUUUAAAUUUUUGGGAACUGCUGAGAGGAGAAAUUAAAUAAAAUGGCCAGUUUUCCUCU